rnacentral:rRNA from 1 species
AUUUCCGUAGGUGAACCUGCGG